rnacentral:rRNA from 1 species
GACGAACGCUGGCGGCGUGCUUAACACAUGCAAGUCGAACGGAAAGGCCCUUCGGGGUACUCGAGUGGCGAACGGGUGAGUAACACGUGGGUGAUCUGCCCUGCACUUCGGGAUAAGCCUGGGAAACUGGGUCUAAUACCGGAUAUACCUCAUUGGCUGCAUGGUCGGUGGGGGAAAGCUUUUGCGGUGUGGGAUGGGCCCGCGGCCUAUCAGCUUGUUGGUGGGGUGAUGGCCUACCAAGGCGUCGACGGGUAGCCGGCCUGAGAGGGUGUCCGGCCACACUGGGACUGAGAUACGGCCCAGACUCCUACGGGAGGCAGCAGUGGGGAAUAUUGCACAAUGGGCGCAAGCCUGAUGCAGCGACGCCGCGUGGGGGAUGACGGCCUUCGGGUUGUAAACCUCUUUCAGCACAGACGAAGCGCAAGUGACGGUAUGUGCAGAAGAAGCACCGGCCAACUACGUGCCAGCAGCCGCGGUAAUACGUAGGGUGCGAGCGUUGUCCGGAAUUACUGGGCGUAAAGAGCUUGUAGGUGGUUUGUCGCGUUGUUCGUGAAAUCUCACGGCUUAACUGUGAGCGUGCGGGCGAUACGGGCAGACUAGAGUACUGCAGGGGAGACUGGAAUUCCUGGUGUAGCGGUGGAAUGCGCAGAUAUCAGGAGGAACACCGGUGGCGAAGGCGGGUCUCUGGGCAGUAACUGACGCUGAGAAGCGAAAGCGUGGGGAGCGAACAGGAUUAGAUACCCUGGUAGUCCACGCCGUAAACGGUGGGUACUAGGUGUGGGUUUCCUUCCUUGGGAUCCGUGCCGUAGCUAACGCAUUAAGUACCCCGCCUGGGGAGUACGGCCGCAAGGCUAAAACUCAAAGGAAUUGACGGGGGCCCGCACAAGCGGCGGAGCAUGUGGAUUAAUUCGAUGCAACGCGAAGAACCUUACCUGGGCUUGACAUGCACUAGAAAGCCGUAGAGAUACGGCCCCCCUUGUGGUUGGUGUGCAGGUGGUGCAUGGCUGUCGUCAGCUCGUGUCGUGAGAUGUUGGGUUAAGUCCCGCAACGAGCGCAACCCUUGUCUCAUGUUGCCAGCGGGUAAUGCCGGGGACUCGUGAGAGACUGCCGGGGUCAACUCGGAGGAAGGUGGGGAUGACGUCAAGUCAUCAUGCCCCUUAUGUCCAGGGCUUCACACAUGCUACAAUGGCCGGUACAAAGGGCUGCGAUGCCGUGAGGUGGAGCGAAUCCUUUCAAAGCCGGUCUCAGUUCGGAUCGGGGUCUGCAACUCGACCCCGUGAAGUCGGAGUCGCUAGUAAUCGCAGAUCAGCAACGCUGCGGUGAAUACGUUCCCGGGCCU